rnacentral:rRNA from 1 species
GACGUAGGGCGCGAGCGUUGUCCGGAUUUAUUGGGCGUAAAGAGCUCGUAGGCGGCUUGUCGCGUCGAAUGUGAAAUCUCAGGGCUCAACUCUGACAUUGCAUUCGAUACGGGCAGGCUAGAGUUCGGUAGGGGAGACUGGAAUUCCUGGUGUAGCGGUGAAAUGCGUAGAUAUCAAGAGGAACACCUGAGGUGAAGACGGGUUGCUGGGCUGACACUGACGCUGAGGCGCGAAAGCCAGGGGAGCAAACGGG